GAUGAACGCUGGCGGCGUGCCUAAUACAUGCAAGUCGAGCGAACAGACGAGGAGCUUGCUCCUCUGACGUUAGCGGCGGACGGGUGAGUAACACGUGGAUAACCUACCUAUAAGACUGGGAUAACUUCGGGAAACCGGAGCUAAUACCGGAUAAUAUAUUGAACCGCAUGGUUCAAUAGUGAAAGACGGUUUUGCUGUCACUUAUAGAUGGAUCCGCGCCGCAUUAGCUAGUUGGUAAGGUAACGGCUUACCAAGGCAACGAUGCGUAGCCGACCUGAGAGGGGGAUGCGCCCCGCUGGAACAGAGAAACGGCCCAGACUCCUACGGGAGGCAGCAGGGGGGAAUCUUCCGCAAUGGGCGAAAGCCUGACGGAGCAACGCCGGGUGGGUGAUGAAGGUCUGCGGAUCGUAAAACUCUGUUUUUAGGGAAAAACAAAUGUGUAAGUAACUAUGCACGGUUUGAGGGAACCUAAUCAGAAAGCCGCGGCUAACUCCGU
rnacentral:rRNA from 1 species